GGGGCUGUAACGGCUUCGACGUGCUGGCGAACACUAUCUUGUGAUGCAGGUCGAGAGUGAGUCACCUCUCGCAAAUCAAGGCUCAAAAACAAGUACAUGCGAACAACAUCGUACCUUUUGCUCGUAAGGCAGCAGCUGUUGCCUAAAAACCCUUAGGUUUUGAGCGUCCACAGUUUGACUCCGUUAAGGAUUGUGGUCUUAACCCCAACGGAUGCUUCAGUAUUUCGCCUCUGGUCGAUUGCUGAUUAAGACAUUACCAGAGCAUCCCGCUGUCAGGGAUAAUAGACAGUCCCCGCUUCUAGGGUAGAGAAGCUAAACCUGUGAAUGAGUGAGAUACCAAUACCCAGGGCGGACACGGGUUCGACUCCCGUCAGCUCCAUUU
rnacentral:tmRNA from 1 species